rnacentral:rRNA from 1 species
UACUCGAGUGGCGAACGGGUGAGUAACACGUGGGUGAUCUGCCCUGCACUUUGGGAUAAGCCUGGGAAACUGGGUCUAAUACCGAAUACACCUCUGGGGUUGCAUGACCUUGGGGGGAAAGCUUUUGCGGUGUGGGAUGGGCCCGCGGCCUAUCAGCUUGUUGGUGAGGUUAUGGCUCACCAAGGCGACGACGGGUAGCCGGCCUGAGAGGGUGACCGGCCACACUGGGACUGAGAUACGGCCCAGACUCCUACGGGAGGCAGCAGUGGGGAAUAUUGCACAAUGGGCGCAAGCCUGAUGCAGCGACGCCGCGUGAGGGAUGACGGCCUUCGGGUUGUAAACCUCUUUCAGUAGGGACGAAGCGAAAGUGACGGUACCUGCAGAAGAAGGACCGGCCAACUACGUGCCAGCAGCCGCGGUAAUACGUAGGGUCCGAGCGUUGUCCGGAAUUACUGGGCGUAAAGAGCUCGUAGGUGGUUUGUCGCGUUGUUCGUGAAAACUCACAGCUUAACUGUGGGCGUGCGGGCGAUACGGGCAGACUGGAGUACUGCAGGGGAGACUGGAAUUCCUGGUGUAGCGGUGGAAUGCGCAGAUAUCAGGAGGAACACCGGUGGCGAAGGCGGGUCUCUGGGCAGUAACUGACGCUGAGGAGCGAAAGCGUGGGGAGCGAACAGGAUUAGAUACCCUGGUAGUCCACGCCGUAAACGGUGGGUACUAGGUGUGGGUUUCCUUCCUUGGGAUCCGUGCCGUA